CCUGAGAGGGUGACCGGCCACACUGGGACUGAGACACGGCCCACACUCCUACCGGAGGCAGCAGUGGGGAAUAUUGCACAAUGGGCGCAAGCCUGAUGCAGCGACGCCGCGUGAGGGAUGACGGCCUUCGGGUUGUAAACCUCUUUCAGUAGGGAAGAAGCGAAAGUGACGGUACCUGCAGAAGAAGCGCCUGCUAACUACGUGCCAGCAGCCGCGGUAAUACGUAGGGCGCAAGCGUUAUCCGGAAUUAUUGGGCGUAAAGAGCUCGUAGGCGGUUUGUCGCGUCUGCCGUGAAAGUCCGGGGCUCAACUCCGGAUCUGCGGUGGGUACGGGCAGACUAGAGUGAUGUAGGGGAGACUGGAAUUCCUGGUGUAGCGGUGAAAUGCGCAGAUAUCAGGAGGAACACCGAUGGCGAAGGCAGGUCUCUGGGCAUUAACUGACGCUGAGGAGCGAAAGCAUGGGGAGCGAACAGGAUUAGAUACCCUGGUAGUCCAUGCCGUAAACGUUGGGCACCAGGUGUGGGGGACAUUCCACGUUUUCCGCGCCGUAGCUACGCAUUAAGUGCCCCGCCUGGGGAGUACGGCCGCAAGGCUAAAACUCAAAGGAAUUGACGGGGGCCCGCACAAGCGGCGGAGCAUGCGGAUUAAUUCGAUGCAACGCGAAGAACCUUACCAAGGCUUGACAUGGACCGGACCGCCGCAGAGAUGUGGUUUCCCCUUUUGGGGCCGGUUCACAGGUGGUGCAUGGUUGUCGUCAGCUCGUGUCGUGAGAUGUUGGGUUAAGUCCCGCAACGAGCGCAACCCUCGUUCCAUGUUGCCAGCGCGUAAUGGCGGGGACUCAUGGGAGACUGCCGGGGUCAACUCGGAGGAAGGUGGGGACGACGUCAAAUCAUCAUGCCCCUUAUGUCUUGGGCUUCACGCAUGCUACAAUGGCCGGUACAAAGGGUUGCGAU
rnacentral:rRNA from 1 species